CCUACGGGAGGCAGCAGUGGGGAAUAUUGCACAAUGGGCGCAAGCCUGAUGCAGCCAUGCCGCGUGUGUGAAGAAGGCCUUCGGGUUGUAAAGCACUUUCAGCGAGGAGGAAGGUGGUGACUUAAUACGUUCAUCAAUUGUACGUUACUCGCAGAAGAAGCACCGGCUAAC
rnacentral:rRNA from 1 species